rnacentral:rRNA from 1 species
GAUGAACGCGGGCGGCGGGCCGAAUACAUGCAAGUCGAGCGAACAGACGAGGAGCUUGCUCCUCUGACGUUAGCGGCGGACGGGUGAGUAACACGUGGAUAACCUACCUAUAAGACUGGGAUAACUUCGGGAAACCGGAGCUAAUACCGGAUAAUAUAUUGAACCGCAUGGUUCAAUAGUGAAAGACGGUUUUGCUGUCACUUAUAGAUGGAUCCGCGCCGCAUUAGCUAGUUGGUAAGGUAACGGCUUACCAAGGCAACGAUGCGUAGCCGACCUGAGAGGGUGCUCGGCCACACUGGAACUGAGACACGGUCCAGACUCCUACGGGAGGCAGCAGUAGGGAAUCUUCCGCAAUGGGCGAAAGCCUGACGGAGCAACGCCGCGUGAGUGAUGAAGGUCUUCGGAUCGUAAAACUCUGUUAUUAGGGAAGAACAAAUGUGUAAGUAACUAUGCACGUCUUGACGGUACCUAAUCAGAAAGCCACGGCUAACUACGUG